rnacentral:rRNA from 1 species
AACGAACGCUGGCGGCAUGCCUAACACAUGCCAGUCGAACGAGACCUUCGGGUCUAGUGGCGCACGGGUGCGUAACGUGUGGGAACCUGCCCUUAGGUUCGGCAUCACUCCCCGACAGGGGUGCUAAUACCGGCUAAUGUCUUCGGACCAAAGAUUUAUCGCCUUUGGAUGGGCCCGCGUUGGAUUAGCUAGUUGGUAGGGUAAAAGCCUACCAAGGCGACGAUCCAUAGCUGGUCUGAGAGGAUGAUCAGCCACACUGGGACUGAGACACGGCCCAGACUCCUACGGGAGGCAGCAGUGGGGAAUAUUGGACAAUGGGCGAAAGCCUGAUCCAGCGAUGCCGCGUGAGUGAUGAAGGCCUUAGGGUUGUAAAGCUCUUUUACCCGGGAUGAUAAUGACAGUACCGGGAGAAUAAGCUCCGGCUAACUCCGUG